ensembl:lncRNA novel transcript
UGAAUAUACCACACAGAAACAAAGCUCCGUGUCUGCUGUGAAGGCUUUGGAGGAGACAGACCAUGACCAGACACAGGCCCUGUUUCUGAUGCUGAGAAGAGAGGAACUAAAUAAAUCCUGGUUAACAAGUGCAUCAGAAAGCUCCUCUAACUGUAAAUGCAGAGCCCUAGCAUGAAGUGGUACCUGCAGCCUGAAUGCAUCGCAUCUGAGUUAUGGGCAAAGGCAGCACUGCCUGAUGGCCUCCUUCCCAUGUCAUCUCCUCACCGAUGAUCUGUUACAGGUCUGGUCUUCCAUUUUCAAAUAAGGUCUAUCAUUUUUUUGUCCUUAAUAAGAUAAAAAUGAAUUUAUCGAGUUUUAUUAUAAGGGAAAAACUAUUUGCCAAAUGAUUAUUCUUCAAUAAAUAAUUUAUCUGAGAAA